GUUUUACGAUUCCCCGAAGUACUAACUUCCUAUUACUUUCAGUCUUCUAUAUUACUGAUUAAAAUUUGUUUACGAGUGUCAUUAGUUCGCGAACGGUACUAUUCUACUCGUUCUCGUUUCAUCUCAGCAGGGUGAACGUUAAUUUCGACGGUUCAUUCACGACGAAGAGCACUUCGGGUAUUACGCGACGGCUUUGAAUGAAACUUCGCAACUAGGUCGAGGUUCGGAAGGUAUCAGAAAAUGAUUUCGUCCGAAAAGCAUUUAAACUCUCGAAUACCUUCGAUACUUAGAGAAACUGACAAUUCCCUUUCUAGACAGCGAUUUUAUCGAGACCCGGUCGAUGAAAUGCCUAAACGUAAACGCCAAGGUGACAUGGACACGUAUUGCGUGUGGAAGAUCCGUUGACGCAUUGCAGAAGAACAAAAUUAUCGGGAGAGGUCAGCAAAA